rnacentral:rRNA from 1 species
GACGAACGCUGGCGGCGUGCUUAACACAUGCAAGUCGAACGGAAAGGCCCUGCUUUUGUGGGGUGCUCGAGUGGCGAACGGGUGAGUAACACGUGAGUAACCUGCCCUUGACUUUGGGAUAACUUCAGGAAACUGGGGCUAAUACCGGAUAGGAGCUCCUGCUGCAUGGUGGGGGUUGGAAAGUUUCGGCGGUUGGGGAUGGACUCGCGGCUUAUCAGCUUGUUGGUGGGGUAGUGGCUUACCAAGGCUUUGACGGGUAGCCGGCCUGAGAGGGGGACCGGCCACAUUGGGACUGAGAUACGGCCCAGACUCCUACGGGAGGCAGCAGUGGGGAAUAUUGCACAGUGGGGGGAAGCCUGAUGCAGCAACGCCGCGUGCGGGAUGACGGCCUUCGGGUUGUAAACCGCUUUCGCCUGUGACGAAGCGUGAGUGACGGUAAUGGGUAAAGAAGCACCGGCUAACUACGUG